UUGAUUCAUGAGUAUUGAAAGAAACUAUUGUUUCUUUACAAAUAAAACAAAACAUAGACAAAAAACUAUUAUUAAUGCAAAGCAACCAAGCUUAUUUGUCAAAGAUAUUGGACAUUUCGGUUUCAAUAACUGUAAUUGAAAUAAGAUUUGAAAAAGAAGAAGAAGAUAAUUUUCAUUACCAUUCCAAUGUUGCGAUCCCAUUUUAGGAAAUGCAUCAAAGUUUUAAUCUUUCUAUAACAAUGAUUGAUAUCAGUGAAUGAACUUAUACCAACAGAUCUACACUAAGGACUAAUCUACAUAACAGGUAAAAAAAAAACAUCAAAUUCAGCUAAAAACACACCAAUUGGUGAUUAAAUGAAUAUCAACCGGAGAUUAUAAAAAGCAACCAGAUCCACCAACACUAAAAGAGCAGAAAAACUCACUGAGAUUGGAGUGACGGGCUGUGAAUAGAUCUGGAAUUGGAGUAUGUAUAAAGAUUCUGUUGAACAGCACAAAAAAACAGAUCUAUAAAGGGAUUGCAAACAAUACAAUAACUUUAUGUCUGCUUACCUCUUGCAAAAAGACCCCUAUGCAAAUUACAGAAUCCUCCAACAACAAGACUAAAUUUAAAUACUCACCACCAAUCUUCAAAAUUUUACACCCAAAUUCACACAAAUAACCCAAAAUCUCUUACAUGAAUUUCAACAAUUGUGCCAUCAAAUUGAACCAAAUAGCACUUGAUAAUGUUUGUGUAUUAAAGAACAAUAACAAGACAACAAAUCACUGAAAAGUUGCAAUAAACUCUGAAAUUUUUAGAAGAUAAAGAAAACGCAGAUCAAAAUUAAUUUGUGGAAUCAUUCUCCCCAAAAUUCACUAAAAAGUUGCAGUAAAAAACUCUAAAAAUGUAUGAGUUUUUUAGAGGAAAAAGAAAACCCAAAAAAAUCCAGAUGGAGAUUUAUUUGUGGAAUCAUUCUCCCCAAAAUUCGCACUAAAAAGUUGCAGUAAAAAACUCUAAAAAUGUCCCCAAAAAAGUUGCAAUAAAAAAGUCUAAGAAUUUUUUAGUGAAAAAAAAAACCCAGAUGGGGAUUGAUUCGUGGAAUGAAGCAAAUAUACCCAGAUGGGGAUUCAUCAGUAUGUUCUCCGAUAUCGUAGCUCUUGUCAUUCCCGUUCGACAGUGGGACCGAAGAGCCAAACGGAGUGGAGUCAGGGUAGAUAGGGCUUGGAUCCAAGCCGAAUCCAUAGCCAACGGAGGAACGGUUGCGGAGGAAAAGUUGGAGUAUGUUGAGUCGUCGAAAUCUCCAUUUUCUUCUAAGAAAUUUCUGUAAAUCUUUUGCUUGAAAUGAGAGAGAAAUGAGAGAGAGAGAGAGAGAACGCAAGAGUGAGAAAUGGUGGAGAAGACUGUGGUUUGAAGAAGAAGAAGGGUGUUUUAGACAUUUUCUAGUUUUGUUUUUAUUGUUACGCCCUCUUAUUACGC
rnacentral:lncRNA from 1 species